rnacentral:rRNA from 1 species
ACGGCUCAGUAACACGUAGCUAACCUGACCUUAAGUCAGGGAUAACCUCGCGAAAGUGAGGGUAAACCCUGAUAGGAUAUAGUUACUGGAAUGUGCUAUAUCUAAAACGCAAGGCUUAAGGAUGGGGCUGCGGCUGAUUAGGUUGUUGUUGGUGUAAAACUUUUAGGAAAAGUUUUAUCAAAAUUUUUCCAAGAUUAUAGGACUAACAAGCCCAUGAUCAGUAAGGGCUCUUAGCGGAGUUGCCCUGAGAAGGACUCUGAGACACUAGUCCUAGUUCUAAGGAAUGCAGCAGGCAUGAAUCUUCUGCAAUGCUCGCAAGAGUGACAGAGCGAGCCAGAGUGUUCUUUCGCAAGAAAGAACUUUUCUCUUGUGUAAAAAGCAAGAGGAAUAAGGACUGGGCAAGACUGGUGCCAGCCGCCGCGGUAAUCCCAGCAGUCCAAGUAGCAGCCGCAAUUAUUGGGUCUAAAACAUUCGUAGCUUGUUUAGUAAGUUUCCUGUGAAAUGUUAUCUCUCAAGGAUAACGCGUGCGGGAAAUACUGCUAGGCUUGAGACCGGGAGGCGUAAUGAGUACAGCUAAGGUAGUGGUAAAAUACUUUAAUCUUAGCUGGACUACCAAUGGCGAAGGCACGCUACGAGAACGGAUCUGACGGUGAGGAAUGAAGGCCAGGGGCGCGAAACGGAUUAGAUACCCGUGUAGUCCUGGCUGUAAACACUGCGUACUAAACUUUGUGAUCUCCUCGAGAGAUUGCAGAGCUGUAACGAAAGUGUAGAGUACGCUACCUGGGAAGUAUAGCCGCAAGGCCGAAACUUAAAGGAAUUGGCGGGGGAG